rnacentral:rRNA from 1 species
AACGAACGCUGGCGGCAGGCUUAACACACGCAAGUCGAACGCAUCGCAAGAUGAGUGGCAGACGGGUGAGUAACGCGUGGGAACAUACCCUUUUCUACGGAAUAGCUCUGGGAAACUGGAAUUAAUACCGUAUACGCCCUACGGGGGAAAGAUUUAUCGGGGAAGGAUUGGCCCGCGUUGGAUUAGCUAGUUGGUGGGGUAAAGGCCUACCAAGGCGACGAUCCAUAGCUGGUCUGAGAGGAUGAUCAGCCACAUUGGGACUGAGACACGGCCCAAACUCCUACGGGAGGCAGCAGUGGGGAAUAUUGGACAAUGGGCGCAAGCCUGAUCCAGCCAUGCCGCGUGAGUGAUGAAGGCCUUAGGGUUGUAAAGCUCUUUCACCGAUGAAGAUAAUGACGGUAGUCGGAGAAGAAGCCCCGGCUAACUUCGUGCCAGCAGCCGCCGUAAAAC